CCCCUCUCAGGGUCGCACCUGGAGAGUUUCCAGUGCUCUACCAGUCUCGGAUAGGGGAGGGAGAGUCAAGCAGAGUCAAAUCAUUUCGCUUCUAGCUUGGGCAGUGGCUAGUGAGUGGAAGGCAAUCUGCUACAGGU